GGGUGCGAUCAUACCAGCGUUAAUGCACCGGAUCCCUUUAGAAAUCUGCAGUUAAGCACGCUUGGGAUACAAUAGUAUUGGGAUGGGUGACCUCUCGGAAAGUCCUAGUGUUGCACCCU
rnacentral:rRNA from 1 species